GGUUGUGGCUCAGUGGUAGAGCAUUUACCUAGCACGUGUGAGGCACUGGGUUCGAUUCUCAGCACCA
rnacentral:tRNA from 1 species